rnacentral:sRNA from 1 species
GAACAUAAUGAUGAGAGGACUGAUGGAUGGACAAUGGUUAACUAAUCUAUAUUUUUAUUUGAGUUGAAUAACUUCCAAAUACAAAAUAUAGGGUUAGUCUAUCCAUUUCUAUAAAUCAGUGUACAUGUCAUGAAUUUAAUGGCAAACUACAAACUUAUUUAUGAAAAUUAACGGCUAAUCCUUCCAUAUCCAUUUGGGAGGAUUUUUUA